rnacentral:rRNA from 1 species
UACGUAGGGUGCAAGCGUUGUCCGGAAUUAUUGGGCGUAAAGAGCUCGUAGGCGGUUUGUCGCGUCUGCUGUGAAAACUCGGGGCUCAACUCCGGGCCUGCAGUGGGUACGGGCAGACUAGAGUGCGGUAGGGGAGACUGGAAUUCCUGGUGUAGCGGUGAAAUGCGCAGAUAUCAGGAGGAACACCGGUGGCGAAGGCGGGUCUCUGGGCCGUAACUGACGCUGAGGAGCGAAAGCGUGGGGAGCGAACAGG